rnacentral:lncRNA from 1 species
UUGGACAGACGGAGAAGCCCCUGAUAAGAGCUCCACAUAUAUUCGACAAAAUGGCAGUCAAAGACAAAAAUAUAUUGAUCCUCGACAUUUUUCUAUUCAAGUAUUGGAGAAAUUUUCUCUUGUCACCAGAUUUGCUCGUGAAACAAAAUCUCAACUUCUUCGUGAAGCUCAUGGUGAUGGUUUCAUUUCUAAUGCAAGGAGGAAGCAUGAAAAAAAGCCAAAUAAUUAUUCUUUUGUUGUUGAAUCUAAUGAUGUUCAUGAGCCGCUUGAAGAUGUUCCUGUGCCAGCAGAUUCUUUGGUGGUAAGAACCUCUCAUGUAAUCCAAUUCUCUUCUUAGUUUCAUUGCCUUCAUGAGCCGCCUGAAGAUGUUCCUGUGCCUGCAGAGUCUUUGGAGGUAAGAACCUCUUAUGUACUCCAAUUCUCUUUUUAGUUUCAUUGCCUUUACAGCUCCCGGCUUACAAGAAUGCUGUUCAUGACUUCCAUUCUUAUUUGUGCAUUUAAUUUAUUUGGAACUGGAAAUUUGAUUUGGUUAGUCAACAAUGAGAAUUCUGCACUUAUGCUUAAGAAGAUUUAGUAAUAUACGAAAAACUACAAGUCAAUAAGAAGUCAGACAAUUUCUUGCUUUAGUACUGCUGAUGCUCCGAUGAAGAAGUGGCAACACUGUUAACAUGAUUUAUCCUUGGGUCCAAAGAAUGAAUGCACCACUUUAGUUUAUUGUCUACUCUACUGAAAACUAUAAGAAUGAUCCUGCAAAAUGGCAUUUUCGGAUAUAAUAUCAACUCCAUAGACAGGACUGUUCUGA